rnacentral:miRNA from 15 species
GCUUUGCCCAGAAGAUCUCACU